GAUGAACGCUGGCGGCGUGCUUAAUGCAUGCAAGUCGAGCGAACGGACGAGAAGCUUGCUUCUCUGAUGUUAGCGGCGGACGGGUGAGUAACACGUGGAUAACCUACCUAUAAGACUGGGAUAACUUCGGGAAACCGGAGCUAAUACCGGAUAAUAUUUUGAACCGCAUGGUUCAAAAGUGAAAGACGGUCUUGCUGUCACUUAUAGAUGGAUCCGCGCUGCAUUAGCUAGUUGGUAAGGUAACGGCUUACCAAGGCAACGAUGCAUAGCCGACCUGAGAGGGUGAUCGGCCACACUGGAACUGAGACACGGUCCAGACUCCUACGGGAGGCAGCAGUAGGGAAUCUUCCGCAAUGGGCGAAAGCCUGACGGAGCAACGCCGCGUGAGUGAUGAAGGUCUUCGGAUCGUAAAACUCUGUUAUUAGGGAAGAACAUAUGUGUAAGUAACUGUGCACAUCUUGACGGUACCUAAUCAGAAAGCCACGGCUAACUACGUG
rnacentral:rRNA from 1 species